rnacentral:rRNA from 1 species
GGGGGGGGGGGGGGGGGGGCCGGGGGGGGGCGGGGGGGGCGGCGGGGCGGGGGGGCUUGCUGGCCUGGCGGCGGGUGGCGGCCGGGGGGGUACCACAUCGGGGGGGGCCGGCUAGGUGUGGCUCACCCGUCGCAAGACGGGCUCACACCGCACACGCUCUUCGGACGUACGCCGGGUACCUUUUGGCCCUGCCCCCCUCGCUCGCCCGGUGUCCGAUUAGCUAGUUGGUGGGGUCAAGGCCUCCCACGGCGACGAUCGGUAGCGGGUCUGAGAUGACGAAGCGCCACACUGGGACUGAGCCACGGCCCAGACUCCGACGGGAGGCAGCAGUGGGGAAUCUUGGACAAUGGGGGCAACCCUGAUCCAGCAAUGCCGCGUGGGUGAAGAAGGCCUUCGGGUUGUAAAGCCCUUUCGGCAGGGAAGAAAUCGGCGGGGCGAAUAACCCUGCUGGAUGACGGUACCUGCAGAAGAAGCACCGGCUAACUACGUG